GUUCUCUUUCCCUCCCUCUAUCACCUCUUUCUUUCACUUUCAGACUGUGGGUGAUUGUCUCCCAACAGCAACAGGUUAUGGAGAUCUCCUCUGCAAAUGAGAAGGAAAAGACAGAGGAAUCCUUCACUUCAAAUGAGAUUAUGGAGCAGCCAUGAAGGUUUUCAAUGGUAAGUGCAGGUUAAUUUGUUUAUUUUUCUUUGUUUUAUGUGUUUUCUUUAUUAUUUUAUAUUACAGCAUUAUAAUCAUUUUUAUAUGAAUAUUUUUGUGUUGUAGAAUAAAUCAUCUUUGUUUUUUUAAUGGGGAAAUUCACUUUGAUAUACAAGUUCUUUUGAUUACAAGCAUAUUUCUGGAAUGAAUUAUGCUUGCAAACCAAAGUUUUACUGUAUUCUUGCUUUUGUUGUACCUCUCCUAUAAAUUAAAGUGCUUCUGUGCAUUGGAGAGGGAUACACUAUAUACUCUCCUUAUUUGGCCAAGUUUUUAAUACACUUAUUUUCCUAUUUUUAUGGGCUUUUCUCCUCCUCAUGAUAGGCAAGUAAAGAAAUACAGAUAGACAAGGCCCAGAUUCAGGCCUCUGGUCAGGUCCCUAGCAACACCACCUAGAGAAUCAAUAUAAGGCAAACAUAAUGCUCUAUUGGGAAAUAUGUUACAGGAACUAGUAUUACCCAACCUGAUCACCUAGAAUGAUUGAAAAACAGUUAUUGGUACAAGGCCAUACACCAUGAAAGAGACAUUGGUUUUAUAAUGGAGGAUGAAAUAAUGUAAGAUAUAAUGUGAAGUAUGUGAAAAACACUAUGAGGUUCUCAUUUUAGAGAGACUAAAUUAGUGAUAAUAUAAAAAGUGAGUUGUAGGAUUGGAGAAACAGGCAAAGAAAUUAUUUUAGUGACAAUUCAAGAUUGAAAUAAUGUAAUCUUCAAGUAACAUACUGUGAUAAUGUUUAGUAAAAUUAGAGAGGAGUUUUUUCCAAAGAUUUUAAACAAAUGUGUUAGGCAGUGUUUGAUGACUAAAUAGACUCUAGAGGGAAGAAAAGAAUGGGAUUAUUUUAAUAAUAUUUCUGCUUUGGGCUAUUGAUAGUUGAAUUAAGCACUUUCCCUGUUGCUGAGACAAAAUAGCCAAUACCCACAACUUAAAGGAGGAAGGGUCCAUUUAGGUCAUGGUUUCUGUGGGUUCAGGCCAUGGCUGGCUGGAUGCAACAUGAUGGAAGACAUCUGCUCACCUCCUUGCAGCUAGAAAGUAGAAAGAAAAGGAAGGAACAGGGGAUAAGACUAUAUCCUUCCAGGUCACAUCCCCAGUGACCUACUUCUAACCAGACCCAACCUCCUAACUGUACAUUCAGCUAUGAACUCACCAAUGGAUUAAUCCACUGCUAAGUAUAGUGCUCUCAUGAUCCAGUUAACUUCAAAAAGCCCCACCUCUGAACACAGCUAAGCAAGGAGAUAGGGGGAAUUAGGUAGACAGGGCCAAGUCCUGAAUAAAAAAGUAAAAGUGAAAGUAAACUAAGUUGGGACUUACAUGAGUUAACAUACAAGAGGGCCCAAAUAGUUAAGCAAACUCACUAUUAGGACCUAAAGGAAUACAACGGACAAAGAAAGGUCCCUACAGAGAAAUAGGAGAGACAUUGGAAAAAGUGAAAUGCAAAUGAAGCACCUUGCAUUCAGACAUCAAAAGCCUACCUAUAACCAGGAGUAUCCCUGCAUUCUGUCAGGUACAUGGAUAUCAAAAACUGUAUAAAAAGCCUUUGGCCUUAAAUAUCUAUGGUAUCUGCCUGAUGGAACGCCUCCCUGCAAAGUGGGAAGCUCUUCCUUUUGUUUUUUCUUUUAAACAUGCACUCAGUCAUUCCCCACCGCUUGUUCUGUGCUGUUUUGUUGGCUUCAAUCUUUGUUGCCGCAAAACAAGAACCAGAAAGCUAGAUGGAAGUUUUUACAACAGGAGACUUGGGGGGGGGGGGGUUAAGUCUAAGUCAUAACAAUAGUGCAUGCCUUUGGAAGGAAAUUUGGGAUGCGGUUACAUUAAUUGAGUUUGAGAUACUGUCAGACUUCAAAGUGGGAACAACUAAUGAGAUUCUUAAGAUUGUCCUGCCCACAUCUUAAAAGUAAACCAGCAAUAUGCAUAGUAUGUACUUGAACCCAUAGUGACAGGUCUGCACUAUUGAAAUGUCACAGUAUGAGGUCUAGGUUAAAUAUGGAAACUUGAGCACACCCAUGUUUAAAGAGCAUGGAUUCUUUAUCUUUUGCUUAAAGUACACAGAAAAGGAGGACAAAGAGGUGUACAAAACAACCCCACAAUUUUUUGGUGGCAACUAAAGUGUGAGAGAUUUUUAAUGAGGAAGUGGUCAGUGAGGUUUCAAGCUACAGGGAAGUUCAAGGGUUUGUGACUGAUAACCAUAUGCUGCUUUUCAGGUCACGGUGUCACAGGCUUUUGCUUGUACCUAAUAAUGAAAGAGGCCUCAUGGUACCCUACUGUUAGACACACUGUUCAAUUUACUGUGCUCUCCCCUUUUAGUUCUAUGAAGGGAAAGUGGUUAAUCAGAAGACGUACUGCACAAUUUGAAGCAUAGUGGGUUGGAUGAUAUUGAAUGGAAAGAAGUUAGAAUCCCAUUGUGUGGUUUCAGGUCCCACUAACAUAGUUCUCAUUUUUUCCUCAGGCAGGAGAAGAAUGAGAGGAUUUGUUUCAAUAGCAGAUGAAGGUGGGAUUCUGCUCCAUGAGGUUACUCUAGAAGGCACAGAGCAGAAUCUUUUUAGGCCAACUAGAUGUAGCUCUAGUCUUAUCAGGUGCCAUUAGAACAGUUAGAAACAAUGGAGCUGUUUACAUUUGAACAGCACUCUAGGGUCAUUCUGCCUUCUACUGUCCUAAGGUGGGUAGAAAAUAAAGUAACAAAAGCUCUGGAGAUCACUGUUACUCUCUAGGUAAGAGCAAGCGCACUUUGGAUCUCCUGGCCUAACCUUCAGUGACCUUCACCCCACUCCAUCUUCAUUACAAGUUCAUAAAUAUACACUACAUUAAGAGCAGAGUGAAUCCUGGGAUGAGUAUACAUGUUGAGAGCCCCUAAGAUAACAACAGUAACCUCUCAAUUAUUUCCCUCAAUCACACUUAGAGAUGCAAGAAGAGGUACCUAAGCUGGGGUGCCUGUCUUUUCAAUUCCAAAAGCCUGAUCUAUUCAUGUGUUGCGGCUGUUUCUGCCAUAUGCUGAGCCUUUUCUGUUACUCUGGAAACUUUUCUGUCUGUGCCAUAUCUUUUAUUGCCAUGGGCUUGCCCUGAGUACAACUUUCCAUGAUCUGCAGUAAAUGUAGCUGCUGUUUGCUUACCAUUUGGACUGUAUGCUUAAAAUUCUUUGCUUGUCAUACAGAAGAACAUGGAUUGCAUUGGCCUAUUCCAUAUCAACAUCAUCUGAUGAGCUUGGCUAUUUUAGUUCUUCACUUUACACAAGUCAAACAAUUUAGGUUAUUCCAAAUUCAAAUGAACAGAGCCAAACACAAUGGAUAGAUUUAAGGUGUAAUGGUUUGAUUUAUUUGAAGAAUUGUCAAAUUGUUACCAGAGGCCUUAAUGGUGGCUCCAACUAAUUAUAUUCAUUUGUAUUCAUACCAUCAAGAAGAGAAGAACAAAACAAAACAAAAUGGAAGAGUAAGUUUGUUUACAAUUUGGCCAACUUGAGAAGAAAACCAGUCUACCUCCAGAAACACACAGAAAUGUUUAACUUAAUAACAGAGAUAGGAAAAAAAAGCCAGAAAAUGUUCACAUUCACCACCAAGCCCAGAAAAAAUGUUGAGAAUCUGAUUCUGUUGAAAUAUUCUGGCCGCAAGGCUUGAAGAACCAUUUAAGUUUCCUUCUCACUAAGCUUGAGGAAGAUGGAGAAAUAGCUGACUUUUAAAAUGUAAAGCUCCUGUUCAAUUUCCCUGUUUCAAAAUGACUACCUAAAGAGAUAAUUAUCAGUAGGUUUAAGAGAAAAAGCCAGAAAAUUUAAGCAUGGAAAAGAUUAAAUGAUUCUUUCCAUUCAAUAAUUAAAAAUUUUUUUUUGCUGUACUGAUGCUAGGCAAGAACUCUAAUGCAGAUCUGCACCCUCUGUGCUUUUAAACAUAUUAUCUUGAGACAGGGGCUUGAUAAGACCUCAAACUUGAAAUCCUCUUUGCUCAAAAUCCAAUGUAACUGGGAUUAAAUUGUGUGCACUGUGCUGGACUUCUAUUCAAAAUAUUAAAGUUUUCAUGGACUCUAAAAGUUAUAAGGCCUUUAUUAAUCUUAGGAAGGAUAAUUUUAUUAGAAUGGAAAGGGGAUUUAUAUUUCAGUGGUUUGCAGGGUAAAGGGGAUGAAAUGAAAUAAGGCAAUGAGUGCAGAAUUUGUUUUUAAAAAAUGUUAGGGCUUGUGUCUAGAUGUCUGACCAAAGCCUCAUGCAGUCAUAGGUGGGGCUUUUUCAGAGGUGGCUGAAUCUAGAGUGUGUGAUGCUGGGAUGAAGGUUGUGUGAUUACUAAAUCAGUCCACUGAUUGGUUUGGCACCACUCUCAUACUGGUAGCCUAGUUACAAUAUAAAAGGGGCUGAAAGAUGCUGAUUUCGUCCCUUUCUUGUUCACUUUUGCCAUCUUUGCCUACCAUAAACUGUUUCUCCUCUGUAAUGCCCUUCUAACAAGCCACCAUGCUUUGGAUACAGCCAAUUGUGGACUGAAACUUCUAUAAACUGUGAGCUAAAUAGACCUUUCCCCUUUUAACUUUGGGUGUUGAGUAUUUUGUCUUAGCAAUGAGAAAAGUAACAAGAAUUUGGUACCAGAGAAAUGGGGUCAUUGCUGAGACUGUACCUGACCAUGUGGUCAGGAACCUUAGGUACUAUUUUGUGGGAAGAGUUUAGAAAGGUUCAGAGAUGUAGCUGAAAGAGUAGAGCUGGAAUGCCCCAGGUUAUACUUGAUGGGAGAUUCUGGUCAGAGCUCAGAAGAUAAGAAGGCUGAUAGAAAUCCUGCUGGUAAAGACCAGGUUCAAGAGGUUUCUGCUCAGAAGAAGGACUACAUUGGCUGUUGGACUCCAGGCAAUAUGUGUGAUGGCAUGGCAUAGAGUUUGUCUGAGUUUUACUUGUGUCCAGAAACUUUGCCUGGGACUGAGAUGAAGGGUGGCAGACAAAUUGAUCUUGCAGAAAAAAUUUCAAGGCAGUCUAAGGUUGAG
ensembl:lncRNA